rnacentral:tRNA from 1 species
GGCUUAGUGGCUGAGUGGUAAAGCUCUAGGCUUCCAAACCAAGGGUCUUGUGUUCGAAUCUCAGUUGAAACCG